rfam:Ovis aries breed Texel chromosome 4, whole genome shotgun sequence.
GACUUUAAAUGGUAAAGAAUCUGCCUGUAAUGCAGGAGACCCAGGUUCUAACCCUGAGUCA